rnacentral:rRNA from 1 species
GAUGAACGCUGGCGGCGUGCCUAAUACAUGCAAGUCGAACGAACAGACGAGGAUCUUGCGGGGCGCACGUGAGGGGCGCGGGGGAGAGUAACGCGUGUAUAACCUACCUAUAAGACGGGUAUAACUACGAGAAACCGGAUCUAAUACCGUAGGAGAUAUUGAACCGCAGGGGGCGAUAGUGAAAUACGGUGUUGCGGGCAGGUAUAGAGGGAUCUGCGCCGCAUUAGCUAGUUGUUAAGUUAAUGGCUUACUAAGGCAACGAUGCGUAGCCGAACUGAGAGGCUGAUAGGCGACAUGGGAAGUGAGACAGGGUCCAGACUCCUACGGGAGGCAGCAGUAGGGAACGGUACGCAGCGGGCGAAAGCAUGACGGAGCAAGGGCGAGUGAGUGAUGACGGUCCUCGGAUCGUAAAACUCUGUUAUGAGGGAAGAACAAAUGUGUCAGUAAAUAUGCCCGUAGUGACGGUAACUAAUAAGAAAGCACCGGCUAACUACGUG